AAUUGAGGGGGGCUGCUCCUAGUACGAGAGGACCGGAGUGGACGCAUCACUGGUGUUCGGGUUGUCAUGCCAAUGGCACUGCCCGGUAGCUAAAUGCGGAAAAGAUAAGUGCUGAAAGCAUCUAAGCACGAAACUUGCCCCGAGAUGAGUUCUCCCUGAGACUUUGAGUCUCCUGAAGGAACGUUAAAGACGAUGACGUUGAUAGGCCGGGUGUGUAAGCGCAGCGAUGCGUUGAGCUAACCGGUACUAAUGAACCGUGAGGCUUAACCUUACAACGCCGAAGCUGUU
rnacentral:rRNA from 3 species